rnacentral:rRNA from 1 species
UACGUAGGGGGCAAGCGUUGUCCGGAUUUAUUGGGCGCAAAGAGCGUGUAGGCGGCCAUACAGGUCAGCUGUGAAAACUCGAGGCUCAACCUCGAGACGUCGGUUGAAACCGUAUGGCUAGAGUCCGGAAGAGGAGAGUGGAAUUCCCGGUGUAGCGGUGAAAUGCGCAGAUAUCGGGAAGAACACCCGUGGCGAAGGCGGCUCUCUGGGACGGUACUGACGCUGAGACGCGAAAGCGUGGGGAGCGAACAGG